rnacentral:rRNA from 1 species
UACGAAGGGGGCUAGCGUUGCUCGGAAUCACUGGGCGUAAAGGGUGCGUAGGCGGGUCUUUAAGUCAGGGGUGAAAUCCUGGAGCUCAACUCCAGAACUGCCUUUGAUACUGAGGAUCUUGAGUUCGGGAGAGGUGAGUGGAACUGCGAGUGUAGAGGUGAAAUUCGUAGAUAUUCGCAAGAACACCAGUGGCGAAGGCGGCUCACUGGCCCGAUACUGACGCUGAGGCACGAAAGCGUGUGGAGCAAACAGG